rnacentral:rRNA from 1 species
AUACGGAGGGUGCAAGCGUUGUCCGGAUUUAUUGGGUUUAAAGGGUGUGUAGGCGGUGUAUUAAGUCAGUGGUGAAAGCCUGCGGCUCAACCGUAGAACUGCCAUUGAUACUGACACACUUGAGUUUGGUUGAGGUAGGCGGAAUUUAUGGUGUAGCGGUGAAAUGCAUAGAUACCAUAAAGAACACCGAUUGCGAAGGCAGCUUACUAAGCCGAAACUGACGCUGAGGCACGAAAGCGUGGGGAGCGAACAGGAUUAGAAACCCCAGUAGUCC